UGUGGCGGAGCCGCCCAGGGCUGCCCACACCUGCUGUGUGUCACCUGCAGCUCAGCCCCAGGAGGAGUUUGCUCUGCUCUGUGGCUGUAACUUCUGGUCUGAGCUACAGAAGGAGGAGAGAGGACGUCAGGAAGGAGGAACUGAGCUCCCGUGGGAGAGGCUCAGAGGUUUCCAGAUGCAGAGCAGGCCUCUGCCUCAGAGCAGAGCCUGAGGUUGGAACCACAGGUGGGGCUCCAGGAGGACAGGGGUCUCCCGCCUCGAUUCUCCACGGGAUCCCAGCGCCUGGAAAGGCUCCCAGCUCUGGGUGGACUCUCACAGAGGGCCUGUUGACACAGUGAAUGAACAGGGAGGUCUGCCCUUCCCUCUCCCAGCCCCUGGGCUAGGAGAUGAGGAGCCCUAACCCGGGGCCUUGAAGGUCCAACCUGUGGGGUGAGCCCUGGACGGCGACAACCCCAGCGCAGGAAGCCCCUGGGAGGAGCCUGGCCCCCAAGCCACGGUGUCAUCCCUCAGGAGGGUUCUCCUCACCGUGACAACUAAGGACACACUGUCCAAGUCCCUCCUUCCCUGGGCAGUUGGCCGAUGGUCAGUGUUCUGAAAUCAAACUCAAGCUGGGAGCAGCUGUUGGCACGGGGUGCUGUGUUUGAUGACUGUUGUCAGGCACGAGGUUUGUUUCUGAUUCUCACGUGUGGGGGUCGGCCCCGUGGCCAAGUAGUUAAGUUCUUGCGCUCAGCUGCGGCAGCCCAGGGUUUCUUCUGUUCGGAUAUUGGGCGUGGACAUGGCACGGCUUGUCAGGCCUCGUUGAGGCGGCGUCCCACAUGCCACAACUAGAAGGACCUACAACUAAGAUAUACAACUAUGUAGCGGGGGGAUUUGGGGCAAUAAGGCAGAAAAAAAAGGACUCAUGUGGACCCUGAGCCCCCAGUCCCUGUGUGCACACAUGGGGGCCGGCAGAGGAGGAAGUCCAGGGAGUCCUGUCCACAGGGCAGCCCCCUGGGCAUCAGCCCUCUGUCAGGACAGGGUCUGGGGGAUGGUAUUUGGGGGAGCAGGCACUCAGGUUGGAGCAGGGUCCCGCUCAGGAAGCUGACACUGCUCCUCGUGCUGGGCCACUGGGAAGGAUGCAGAGAUAGCAGGACAGGUCCAGUCCUCUGGGAGGGGUCCUAGCAGGACCCUGCAGCCUCCCUGGGAGCAGGCCAGCUCACUGCACUCAGGGGAAGCUGUGCUGGAUCCUCCAGAUCCCACAGGAAGUGAUCCUGGAGCUUGCUCUCUGCUGGUCACGGUGAUGUCAGGGCAGGUGCAGAGGAGCGAUGGCCCACGGGCUCCAUUGUCCAGGCCAGGUUUUCUCCCCUGUAAUUAUCCUGUCAGCGGGGGAGCGAGGAGCCUAGGGGUAGGAUUCCUUCUGAAUUGGGAUUCCCAGAAUGCUCGGGGGGACUGACUGGAGCCCCAGGCAGGUGGUGACCUUGACCCCUCAGGUGCACUUGAACUUGGCGUCCCAGGGGGUGACAGCCACCCCACCUGCUGCUGCUCAGGGCUGCCCUGGGCGGGGCGGCUAGCUGCACCUGCUGUUUGCGGACGGACAGGACCCCAGGAGGCUGAGCAAUCUUAAUUUAAAUGAUUCAGUAGGAAGGUGGAAAUCAAGCUGGAGAUGUUCUGCUUAAGGACAACACAUUUAAAGGCCCAUGGAUUAUUUAUUCCCUUAAUUUCCCCUCGAAUGC
ensembl:lncRNA